CAUCAGAUGGCUGAAAGCAAGUGGUGGUCUCUUAAACCAAUUUAUAGUAAAUUAGUGUCUACUUCUGAUGA
rnacentral:tRNA from 1 species